AAUCGGAUUAGUUUUUUUUUAUUCAUUUUUUAGCAGAUCUUUUGUGUCCAUACGAAUCAUCAAGUUGUAAUUUGAAUUCUCAUACUUUUUUGAAUCAAAAAGACCACUUCUAGCCUUUUAUGUAGCCAACCCUAGCUUACGGUACACAUAUUUAUUGUUGAGUCGGUUCAGUUUUUUUUAAUUUCUUUUUUAGCAGAUCUUUUGUGUCCAUUCUAAUCCUCAAUCUCUAAUUUGAAUUCUCAUACUUUUUCCACUCAAAUUAGCCAGUUUUAGCCUUUGCUUUGGCCAACCCUAGCUCACUGUACAAACAUGUACUGUUGAAUUAGUUUAGUUUUUUUGAUUCAAGUUUUGGCAGAUCUGUUGUGUCCAUUCGAAUUCUCAUACUCUUUUGAAUCAAAUUGUCUAGUUCUAGCCUUUGCUCUAGCCAACCACAGCUCACUGUACAGACGGGUAUUGUUGAAUCGAUUCAAUUUUUUUUUAUUCAUGUUUUAGCAGAUCUUUUCUCGCCAUUCGAGUCCCUAAUCUGUAAUUUGAAUUCUCAUACUUUUUCCAAUCAAAUUGGACAAUCCUAGACUUUUAUGUAGCCAACCCUAGCUCACAGUAUAGGUAGUUAUUGUAGAAUUGGUUCUGUAUUUUUCAUUCAUGUUUUAGCAGAUCUUUUGUCGCCAUUCGAAUCCGCAAUCUGUAAUUUGAAUUCUCAUACUUUUUCCAAUCAAAUUGGCCACUUCUAGCAAUUUCUACAGCCAACCCUAGCUCACAGUAUAGACAUGUACUGUAGAAUUGGAUCUAUUUUUUUCUUUCAUGUUUUAGCAAAUCUUUUUCGGCCAUUCGAAUCCCCUAUCUGUAAUUUGAAUUCUCAUACUUUUUCCAAUCAAAUUGGCCAUCUCUAGCAAUUUCUAUAACCAACCCCUAGCUUACUGUACAGACGGGCAUUGUUGAAUCGGUUCAGUUUUUUUGACUCUUGGUUUGGCAGAUCUUUUGUGUCCAUUAGAAUCCUCAAUUUCUAAUUUGAAUUAUCAUACUUGUCCCAAUCAAAUUGGACACUCCUAGCUUUUUAUGUAGCCAACCCUAGCUUAAGAUACAGACAUUUAUUGUUGAAUCGGUUCAGUUUUCUUUUAUUCACUUUUUAGAAAAUCUUUUGUGUCCAUACGAAUCCACAAUUUGUAAUUUGAAUUCUCCUACUUUUUCCAAUUGAAUUGGCCACUUCUAGCUAUUUCUACAGCCAACCCUAGCUCACAGCACGGAUAGUUAUUGUCGAAUUGGUUCUGUAUUUUUCAUUUAUGUUUUAGUAGAUCUUUUGUCGCCGUUCGAAUUGCCAAUCUAUAAUUUGAAUUCUCAUACCUUUUCCAAUCAAAUUGGCCUUCUGUACCC
rnacentral:lncRNA from 1 species